rnacentral:rRNA from 1 species
AGCAGCCGCGGUAAUUCCAGCUCCAAUAGCGUAUAUUAAAGUUGUUGCAGUUAAAAAGCUCGUAGUUGAAUUUCGGGGUUAGUAGAUUGGUCAUGCCUCUGGUAUGCACUGGUCUUACUGAUUCCUCCUUCCUGAUGAACCGUAAUGCCAUUAAUUUGGUGUUGCGGGGAAACCGGACUGUUACUUUGAAAAAAUUGAGUGUUUAAAGCAGGCUAACGCUUGAAUACAUUAGCAUGGAAUAAUGAAAUAGGACGUUCGAUCUUAUUUGUUGUUCUAGGAUUGACGUAAUGAUUAAUAGGGAUAGUUGGGGCAUUAGUAUUCAAUUGUCAGAGGU